GAUGAAGAACGUAGCGAAAUGCGAUACUUGGUGUGAAUUGCAGAAUCCCGUGAACCAUCGAGUCUUUGAACGCAAGUUGCGCCCGAAGCCAUUAGGCCGAGGGCACGCCUGCCUGGGUGUCACACGUCGUUGCCCCCCCAUCUACUCCUUCGGGAUUGCGGGGGGCGGAUGAUGGCCUCCCGUGCGCCUCGUCGCGCGGUUGGCAUAAAUGCCAAGUCCUCGGAGACGCACGCCACGACAAUCGGUGGUUGCGAAACCUCGGUUGCCCGUCGUGUGCGGUCGUCGCGCAUCGAGGGCUCGAAAAAAUUGCCGGGCUCCGGCUCGGCUUUCAACGCGACCCCAGGUCAGGCGGGGUUACCCGCUGAAUUUAAGCAUAUCAAUAAGCGGAGGA
rnacentral:misc_RNA from 1 species